GUAUAGAUCUGGAACUUCUUUAAGUCUGUCUAAAUAUCAUUUAGUAAUUGCAAUGUCUUCUGGUCCAUAUCCUUUCCUUGGGAAGGUGUGCUAGACACUGAUUAAUGUAACAUAAUACUAUACAUAUUUAUGUAUUUUGCUAUUGUAUUAUGAGUGACACUUUCAUAAACUUUUCUAUACCCCUCUGAUUAUAUAAUGGGUAAUAUUAGACAUCAUAGCACAACAACAGUGAUCAGCAAUAAUGAUAAGCCUAAUACUCACAAUAAAAAUAAUAAGGUCAUAUAUCCUAACACAGUCUCUGAGAUAAGUGGAUUAUCCUUCACCUGAAAUGUUUGUCUUUUCAUCCUGAAAUGCGAGGCAAAUGUUGGAUCACAAUAAUUAGGAACCACAGUUUCUACAAAUCCCUUCACUCGAUUGGGAUGUUCUCUUUUAUUCUGGACGGCAAGGGCAGUGACUGUAACAUGGAGCGUAUUUUGCACGUAUUUAUACCGAUUUCAUCAGGCUCCGAAAAUUCCGAAUGGCCUUCUCAGCUGCCAUAGUUGCGGCUCGUGCGUCAUCACCAUAGUUGCCAAGUCUGCGUAUUAUCAGAGAAUAGGCUUGUUUGAGAUGCGCCUCGCCUGAAAUGUAGGCGAGAGUAGGCGGCUGCAGUGAGGGGAGGAGUGAAAUAAACGCAGUCAAGACGGACAGUUCUGAGCUCUCAAAGUGGAACAGAUACCUACGAGAUCAAAGGCAGAUAUCGCGUUAUUCUCACUCACGUGCUGUGUUGCUAAUAAACAUGAUAUAAUUUCAGUUCUGUUGCUUUUAUAUGAAAAUAAAUAUGAUAAACAAGACACUCAAGGUGCAUUGCUAUUUUAUUCCAUACGAAAGCCGUAUUUAUCAUCCGUUUUUACUUUAAUACAAACAUGUAUUUUAGAUUUUUAUAGAAAUAUGACAACAAUCACAUAUCUCACACAUAUAUCGCACUGUAAUAGUGUUUGGGAAGAUUCAUGAAUAAUUUAAAUACAUAAUCACAUGAAAUCAGAUAAAAAAAUAAAAUAUUUUAGAAGAGAACGCAGCAUCACAGUUGUCUGAACCAAUGAGCUUUAAGCUGUGUCGUCAGUCAAUUGUUUCCCAUCAUGCUUUUGAUCAGCGCAGGAGAGCCACUGCACUCGACUGCUCAAUCCGACACAGCCGCCUCGCCGUCGCGAGAGUUUUUCGGCACACGUCAGCAUGACAUCAGAGCAAGGCGGACGUAACUCGGACACUUUUCUAACCGGCAUGCAUCUCGCGGUGAUCACCGGUGAUCGGUUCUGCGCAGAUUUUGUCAUCUCUAAACUUUUUUUUUUUUUUUUUUUUUUUUUUUUUUAUUUUUUAUAUACUUAUACUAAUAACUACGUUAUUUACUAAUACAUAUCAUAUAACAAAUGAAACAUAAACAUAAUUAACAACAAAAAUGCAUCGCCAGAGUAUCAAACAUUAGAUAUCAGUUAAAUUAUAUAGUUAAACCAGAUAAGUAUUUCAUACAUUUUGAUGCUGAUUUACCCUCUAAUCCAGAAAUACAUUCUAUAUAAUUUUUUAAGUCAAUUUUAAAAACAUUGAAAAGAGGUUUGUUAUUCAUAAACUUGGAUUUAUGAAUAAAAAAUUUUCCAAGCAAAAUUAUCAAGUUGACUAAAUAUUGUACAGAGGAGUUUGAGUCAGAAAAGUAAAAGAAAAUAUCAAAAUUAGAUAAAUGUAUAUUUGAGCCAAGUUGUCCAUUAAUAAAAUCUUGUAUAUCAUUCCACAGGGAAGAGCUAUAUGAACAACUAUAGAAUAAAUGGUCUAGCGUUUCUGUUUCCAUAAAGCAAAAACUGCAUUUAUCGUCUACAGUAGGGAUGAAUUUACAGAUAAUUUUGUUGCAGGGGUAAUAAUGGUGAAGAAUUUUAAAUGAUAUUUCUUUCACUUUGUUCGUAAUUAAAAAUUUAUGUGGGUUAUUCCAUGCUCUAUUCCAAUUAAUAUUUUCAUACAAGGGGGACCAUUUGUAUCUGGAGGCAGGGAUAGAUUUUGCACAUAGAAGGUUUUUUAUUACUUUGUUGUUAAAUUUUCUGUCUAGAAACGAUAGACCAUUUAUUGAAACACUGCUGGAGAGAGAUUUAUUAAAUUGAUCCAAAACUGUCUCAUUUCUAAGUAGGGUGAUGAUCCCAGUAGGGUGAUGAUCCCUUGGGGUAUAGCUUUGGUUACAAUAUCAAAUUCUUUUCUUGGAGGCUGGAAUUAAAUUUAUGGGUGAAGUCGUCAUAAGUUAAAAUUUGAUUUGAGUUAUUUAAUAAUUGGGAUACCAGUAGAAUAUCAUGUUUAAACCAGUUUUCUAUAAAGAGAGUCUUGUUUCUAUAUAUGAUGUUCAUGUUGUUCCAUAUAAAACAUUUGUGAGGGGAGAAAUUGUGUUUGUAUAGAAGAGACCAAUAAGUUAGAGCCUGUUUAUGGAAGUUGGAUAGUUUUACUGGCAUUCUGUUGAUGGAGUAUGGGCAUUGAAGCAAGAAUGUAAUUUUACCAAGUUUUUCAAAAAUAAAGUUUGGCUUUAUACAUUGUCGUGUAUCAAAUAAUAUAUAUAUAUUAUUUGAUUCUUUGAAAAUACAUUACAGUAUGUUUCAAUCUAACAUCACAAUGACAUAUGAUCGUAUAGUGGAAAUAUUUUGUUGCAAUAUAACAUACCUGCAGUUUAAUAAAGACAGGACAGGAAUUAAUCGUCAACACACUCUCAGUUCUGUGGUCUCUGUGAGGAGUGUGAGAAGAUAGAAAAGUGAACCCCUGCCCCCAUUAACACUAUAACUGCAUCUGCUAUCAACUAUUUCAAGUACGUACGUGACUACAAAUACACAAUUUUAGACAGAUAAAGACAAUACACUUUAACUAAGUUAACUGCACGAUAUCUUAUGAGCGUAAUCCGCCCUUUUUCAUUAUAUUUAAGAACCAUAUUACUAUAGAAACCCGCUGUUCAAAAUGGAGUGUGGGCGGCAUUUUGAACCAGCACAUUAAGAGCUCAUUAACACAAAACCCAGAAUAUGCACAAAAAUAACAGUAUUCAAAAACACACUAAGUGACUCAAUUCAGCAUUAAAACGUCAUUCACCGAUAUUGAUCAAAAUAUUGACUUCUCUUCUCUUAUAACCGGGAGGCUUGUAACUGUCCCAUUGACUGCAUAGUAAAUUGCACUGUCAAGGUCCAGAAAAGUAUGAAAGACAUCGUCAGAAUGGUCCAUCUGAAUAAAGUCAUUAUUUUAUUUUCUCUGCGUACAAAAAGUAUUCUCGUCGCUUCGUAAAAUUCAGAUUGAACCACUGAUGGCAGAUGGACUAUUCUGAUGAUGUCUUUCAUACUUUUCUGGACCUUGACAGUGCAAUUUACUUGGCAGUCAAAGGGACAGUCACAAGCCUCCCGGUUUUCAUCCAAAAUAUCUUAAACUGUGUUCCGAAGACGAACAGAGCUUUUAUGGGUUUGGAACAACAUGGGGGUAAGUGAUUAAUGACAAAAUUUUCCUUUUGGGGUGGAGUAACCCUUUAAUAUUAUGGAACAAAAUAGCCUACUUUAUAAAUUGCCAUUCAGCGAAGACACCUUGCAUUUGUCAAUAAUUUUAAGGAAAUAAGAAUAAUAUUGUUUGACACUGACAUGUCGUCUUCACAUUUCCUUUGCAACCUUUUAAUGCUCAAAUUCUAUGUUAAAUGCUAAAUAUUUUAAAUGAGGGACUCAUGCAUAACUGUUACAAAACAAUCAAUGUUUUGACAAUCCUCAUCCUAGACUCCUACCUGUGGGUGUCGCUGUUGGACAGUGUUAUUCCUGCUUCCUGCUUGCCGUGCCGUGCUGCCGUGCUGCUGUUUUGUGAUCGUAGCUCCGUGUAGCUUUGUUUUUCUGUAGAAUCUUUCUGUAGAAUCUUUAUAUUACUAUCACUCUCUGUUGUUUAAAGUGAUAAAAUAUAACUUAAUUCCCACCAUAUUUCUGAUAUUAUCUAUCAAUCUAAUCUGAUUAAUUUGAUCGUUCACUUUUAUUUUAAAUCCGUGAGUGCAGUGCACCUGCAUCGCGUUAGCACUCGUUAGCUUAUCAUUAGCGUUUCCAUUUGUGCCUAUCGCUGUUUUCUUUCCUCCUCUCCUUUCUCUCGUUACUCUCUCUCUCCGGUUUUCACAAGUUCAUCAAACAACUGUGGUAAGAAUCU
rnacentral:lncRNA from 1 species